rnacentral:rRNA from 1 species
CCUACGGGGGGCAGCAGUAGGGAAUCUUCGGCAAUGGGGGGAACCCUGACCGAGCAACGCCGCGUGAGUGAAGAAGGUUUUCGGAUCGUAAAGCUCUGUUGUUAAGGAAGAACGAGUGUGAGAAUGGAAAGUUCAUACUGUGACGGUACUUAACCAGAAAGGGACGGCUAACUACGUGCCAGCAGCCGCGGUAAUACGUAGGUCCCGAGCGUUGUCCGGAUUUAUUGGGCGUAAAGCGAGCGCAGGCGGUUAGAUAAGUCUGAAGUUAAAGGCAGUGGCUCAACCAUUGUAGGCUUUGGAAACUGUUUAACUUGAGUGCAGAAGGGGAGAGUGGAAUUCCAUGUGUAGCGGUGAAAUGCGUAGAUAUAUGGAGGAACACCGGUGGCGAAAGCGGCUCUCUGGUCUGUAACUGACGCUGAGGCUCGAAAGCGUGGGGAGCG